AAGUGGAUUAGUGGCGCACGGGUGAGUAAUGCAUAGGUAACAUGCCCUUUAGUCUGGGAUAGCCACUGGAAACGGUGAUUAAUACUGGAUACUCCCUACGGGGGAAAGUUUUUCGCUAAAGGAUUGGCCUAUGUCCUAUCAGCUUGUUGGUGAGGUAAUGGCUCACCAAGGCUAUGACGGGUAUCCGGCCUGAGAGGGUGAUCGGACACACUGGAACUGAGACACGGUCCAGACUCCUACGGGAGGCAGCAGUAGGGAGUAUUGCUCAAUGGGGGAAACCCUGAAGCAGCAACGCCGCGUGGAGGAUGAAGGUUUUAGGAUUGUAAACUCCUUUUGUAAGAGAAGAUU
rnacentral:rRNA from 1 species